GACGAACGCUGGCGGCGUGCUUAACACAUGCAAGUCGAACGAUGAAACCGGAGCUUGCUCCGGUGGAUUAGUGGCGAACGGGUGAGUAACACGUGAGUAACCUGCCCUUGACUCUGGGAUAACUGCGGGAAACUGUAGCUAAUACCGGAUACGACCCUCGGAGGCAUCUCCUGGGGGUGGAAAGAAUUUCGGUCAAGGAUGGACUCGCGGCCUAUCAGCUAGUUGGUGAGGUAACGGCUCAACAAGGCGACGACGGGUAGCCGGCCUGGGAGGGUGACCGGCCACACUGGGACUGAGACACGGCCCAGACUCCUACGGGAGGCAGCAGUGGGGAAUAUUGCACAAUGGGCGCAAGCCUGAUGCAGCAACGCCGCGUGAGGGAUGACGGCCUUCGGGUUGUAAACCUCUUUUAGCAGGGAAGAAGCGAAAGUGACGGUACCUGCAGAAAAAGCACCGGCUAACUACGUGCCAGCCGCCGCAGUAA
rnacentral:rRNA from 1 species